rnacentral:rRNA from 1 species
UACAGAGGGGGCAAGCGUUGUUCGGAAUUACUGGGCGUAAAGGGCGCGUAGGCGGCCCGCUAAGUCGAACGUGAAAUCCCCGGGCUCAACCCGGGAACUGCGUCCGAUACUGGCAGGCUUGAAUCCGGGAGAGGGAUGCGGAAUUCCAGGUGUAGCGGUGAAAUGCGUAGAUAUCAGGAGGAACACCGGUGGCGAAAGCGCUCAUCUGGCCCAAUACUGACGCUGAGGCGCGAAAGCUAGGGGAGCAAACGGG